GCAGUGCACUACCAUGCAAUCGAGGAGUUGUUGAGAGGGAAAGCGAGGGCUGCAGCAGGCGCUUUUCCUGUCUUCAUUUCCCUUUGGGUAGUAGCUUCGUCUGCAGG
rnacentral:pre_miRNA from 1 species